rnacentral:rRNA from 1 species
AAGUCGUAACAAGGUUUCCGUAGGUGAACCUGCGGAAGGAUCAUUGUUGAGAGAGCACUGAACAAUGGAUGGUUGUGAACGUGUCAACGUGCCCCUCUACUUGGCCCCAUUUUGGUGGCCGACUGACCAUAGCUCGGUGCGAUCGGCACCAAGGAACAAUGAACUCAGAAGCAGAUGGCCCUCGGUGUGCCCGGGGAGCCCACUGCGUCGGAGACGGUCGGAAUCGAAUGACUCUCGGCAAUGGAUAUCUCGGCUCUUGCAUCGAUGAAGAACGUAGUGAAAUGCGAUACUUGGUGUGAAUUGCAGAAUCUCGUGAACCAUUGAGUCUUUGAACGCAAGUUGUGCCCAAGGCUUUGUGGCCGAGGGCACGCCUGCUUGGGCGUCAUGGCAACAUCGCCUUUGCUCCUUGCUUUGCUGGUGCGAAGAGCGGAAAUUGGCCUCGUGUGCCCUCGGGCACAGUCGGUCGAAGAGCGGGUAGUCGGCAGUCGUCGGGCGCGAUGGGUGCUGGUCACCCUGUGCGUGAAUAGAACGUCGCCCCGACGUGUCGGGAUGUGUCCUCAAAGAGACCCUGUGCGAUUACGGCAUCAUGUCAAAGUGACGUGCCCAUCGGAUUGUGGCCCCAAGUCAGGCGAGGCCCACCCGCCGAGUUUAA